UGGGGUCCUUAGUUACCAGUGCUGGA
rnacentral:piRNA from 1 species